GACGUAGGGCGCGAGCGUUGUCCGGAAUUAUUGGGCGUAAAGAGCUCGUAGGCGGUCUGUCGCGUCUGCUGUGAAAACCCCGAGGCUCAACCUCGGGCCUGCAGUGGGUACGGGCAGACUAGAGUGCGGUAGGGGAGAUUGGAAUUCCUGGUGUAGCGGUGGAAUGCGCAGAUAAUCAGGAGGAACACCGAUGGCGAAGGCAGAUCUCUGGGCCGUAACUGACGCUGAGGAGCGAAAGCGUGGGGAGCGAACAGG
rnacentral:rRNA from 1 species